GAAUAAGAAGCAAAUUAUUGCAAUCAGUUUCGACCUGAUCCUUAGAUAAUACUAUUAUCCUUAUUUU
rnacentral:tRNA from 1 species